CCUACGGGCGGCUGCAGUGGGGAAUAUUGCACAAUGGGCGCAAGCCUGAUGCAGCCAUGCUGCGUGUGUGAAGAAGGCCUUCGGGUUGUAAAGCACUUUCAGCGGGGAGGAAGGCGGUGAGGUUAAUAACCUCAUCGAUUGACGUUACCCGCAGAAGAAGCACCGGCUAACUCCGUGCCAGCAGCCGCGGUAAUACGGAGGGUGCAAGCGUUAAUCGGAAUUACUGGGCGUAAAGCGCACGCAGGCGGUCUGUCAAGUCGGAUGUGAAAUCCCCGGGCUCAACCUGGGAACUGCAUUCGAAACUGGCAGGCUAGAGUCUUGUAGAGGGGGGUAGAAUUCCAGGUGUAGCGGUGAAAUGCGUAGAGAUCUGGAGGAAUACCGGUGGCGAAGGCGGCCCCCUGGACAAAGACUGACGCUCAGGUGCGAAAGCGUGGGGAGCAAACAGGAUUAGAUACCCCAGUAGUC
rnacentral:rRNA from 1 species